AGUGAACGCUGGCGGUAGGCCUAACACAUGCAAGUCGAACGGCAGCACAGUAAGAGCUUGCUCUUACGGGUGGCGAGUGGCGGACGGGUGAGGAAUACAUCGGAAUCUACUUUUUCGUGGGGGAUAACGUAGGGAAACUUACGCUAAUACCGCAUACGACCUACGGGUGAAAGCAGGGGAUCUUCGGACCUUGCGCGAUUGAAUGAGCCGAUGUCGGAUUGGCUAGUUGGCGGGGUAAAGGCCCACCAAGGCGACGAUCCGUAGCUGGUCUGAGAGGAUGAUCAGCCACACUGGAACUGAGACACGGUCCAGACUCCUACGGGAGGCAGCAGUGGGGAAUAUGAGACAAUGGGCGCAAGCCUGAUCCAGCCAUACCGCGUGGGUGAAGAAGGCCUUCGGGUUGUAAAGCCCUUUUGUUGGUAAAGAAAAGCAGCAGGUUAAUACCCCGCUGUUCUGACGGUACCCAAAGAAUAAGCACCGGCUAACUUCGUG
rnacentral:rRNA from 1 species